UAAAAGGCUCUUUUAAGAGCCACCCACUACAUUUUAAAAGCAGCUGU
rfam:Cavia porcellus supercont2_38 genomic scaffold, whole genome shotgun sequence.